GGGCGGGUGGCGUAAUGGCAACGUGUCGCUUUCCGGUAACCUGGAGACUGGCGAAGAUUGCGGGUUCGAGUCCCGUCCUGCUCG